UACGUAGGGUGCGAGCGUUGCCCGGAUUUAUUGGGCGUAAAGGGCGCGUAGGCGGUGAGAUGCGUCCGUUGUGAAAUCGCCCCGGCUCAACUGGGCGGGGUCAGCGGAUACGGUCUCACUUGAGCAAGCUAGGGGGCAAUGGAAUUCCCGGUGUAGUGGUGGAAUGCGUAGAUAUCGGGAGGAACACCAGUGGCGAAGGCGGUUGCCUGGGGCUUUGCUGACGCUGAGGCGCGAAAGCGUGGGGAGCGAGUCCGG
rnacentral:rRNA from 1 species